UACAURCGCKCUACACAUGCAGUCGACGAUGAAGCCCUGCUUGCAGGGUGGAUUAGUGGCGAACGGGUGAGUAACACGUGAGUAACCUGCCCCUGACUCUGGGAUAAGCCCGGGAAACUGGGUCUAAUACCGGAUAUGACUUCCUACUGCAUGGUGGGUUGUUGAAAGAUUUAUCGGUGGGGGAUGGACUCGCGGCCUAUCAGCUUGUUGGUGAGGUAAUGGCUCACCAAGGCGACGACGGGUAGCCGGCCUGAGAGGGUGACCGGCCACACUGGGACUGAGACACGGCCCAGACUCCUACGGGAGGCAGCAGUGGGGAAUAUUGCACAAUGGGCGGAAGCCUGAUGCAGCGACGCCGCGUGAGGGAUGACGGCCUUCGGGUUGUAAACCUCUUUCAGUAGGGAAGAAGCGAAAGUGACGGUACCUGCAGAAGAAGCGCCGGCUAACUACGUGCCAGCAGCCGCGGUAAUACGUAGGGCGCAAGCGUUAUCCGGAUUUAUUGGGCGUAAAGAGCUCGUAGGCGGUUUGUCGCGUCUGCCGUGAAAGUCCGAGGCUCAACCUCGGAUCUGCGGUGGGUACGGGCAGACUAGAGUGAUGUAGGGGAGACUGGAAUUCCUGGUGUAGCGGUGAAAUGCGCAGAUAUCAGGAGGAACACCGAUGGCGAAGGCAGGUCUCUGGGCAUUUACUGACGCUGAGGAGCGAAAGCAUGGGGAGCGAACAGGAUUAGAUACCCUGGUAGUCCAUGCCGUAAACGUUGGGCACUAGGUGUGGGGGGACAUUCCACGUUUUCCGCGCCGUAGCUAACGCAUUAAGUGCCCCGCCUGGGGAGUACGGCCGCAAGGCUAAAACUCAAAGGAAUUGACGGGGGCCCGCACAAGCGGCGGAGCAUGCGGAUUAAUUCGAUGCAACGCGAAGAACCUUACCAAGGCUUGACAUGUGCCAGACCGCUCCAGAGAUGGGGUUUCCCUUCGGGGCUGGUUCACAGGUGGUGCAUGGUUGUCGUCAGCUCGUGUCGUGAGAUGUUGGGUUAAGUCCCGCAACGAGCGCAACCCUCGUUCCAUGUUGCCAGCACGUAGUGGUGGGGACUCAUGGGAGACUGCCGGGGUCAACUCGGAGGAAGGUGGGGAUGACGUCAAAUCAUCAUGCCCCUUAUGUCUUGGGCUUCACGCAUGCUACAAUGGCCGGUACAAUGGGUUGCGAUACUGUGAGGUGGAGCUAAUCCCUAAAAGCCGGUCUCAGUUCGGAUUGGGGUCUGCAACUCGACCCCAUGAAGUCGGAGUCGCUAGUAAUCGCAGAUCAGCAACGCUGCGGUGAAUACGUUCCCGGGCCUUGUACACACCGCCCGUCAAGUCACGAAAGUUGGUAACACCCGAAGCCGAUGGCCUAACCACCUUGUGUGGGGGGAGUCGUCGAAGGUGGGACUGGCGAUUGGACUAAGUCKAAGCAACWGKGG
rnacentral:rRNA from 1 species